CUAGCUGUAAACGAUGUGAACUAGGCGUCGGUGGGAUUAAAUCCAUCGGUGUCGAAGCUAACGCGAUAAGUUCACCGCCUGAGGACUACGGCCGCAAGGUUAAAACUCAAAGGAAUUGACGGGGACCCGCACAAGCAGCGGAGCGUGUGGUUUAAUUCGUUGCUACACGAAGAACCUUACCUGGGUUUGACAUACUGGUUGUAGGGAACUGAAAAGGGACCGACCCUUCGGGGAGCCAGUACAGGUGU
rnacentral:rRNA from 1 species